UAUAGAUUCAACAGAUUCGAGAUUCAUUCAUUUUUUUUUCAUUUUUUUCAUUUUUUCGUUUGC
rnacentral:ribozyme from 14 species